GGUCUGGUGGUGUAAUGGGAACACGUCCACUUUCUUUAGGACUAUCCCAAUUAAAUAUUAUGUGGACAUGUGUAAGAUUCUUGUUCGACUCAAGGCCAGGCCA